CCAGCCCUCCCCGCAUCCCGCAGUGCCCAUCACCCCCACCCCCCCAAUGCCAAUCGCUGCCCCAGUUUCCAGCCCCCCCAGCCUCUUCCUCCCACAGGCGAGCCCCAGAGCCUGAGGCACAGCCGCUCAGCACGGAGCCAUGGAGGGAGCCCUCCCAGCGUGCAGACCAGAACUGCUGGCGCACAUGGUGGCUCCUCCCACACCUGCUGCUGGUGCUGCUGCUGGCACUGCUCUGCCUCCUGCACCACAUCGCCCCAUGGCUGGAGCUGAGCUACCUGAGAUC